AAAGAGAACUUGCCCUUCGGGGUAGAUCUCCCACCCUUUGUUUAUUAUACUUUGUUGCUUUGGCGGGCCUGCCUCACGGCUGCCGGCGUAAGCUGGCUCGCGCCCGCCAGAGACCCCUAAACUCUGAAUAUUGUCGUCUGAGUAAUAUAUAAUAAGUUAAAACUUUCAACAACGGAUCUCUUGGUUCUGGCAUCGAUGAAGAACGCAGCGAAAUGCGAUAAGUAAUGUGAAUUGCAGAAUUCAGUGAAUCAUCGAAUCUUUGAACGCACCUUGCGCCCUUUGGUAUUCCGAAGGGCACACCUGUUUGAGUGUCAUUAAUCUCUCAACCCUAUCCUUUUAUUACUAAAAUGGUAGUGGCUGGAUGUUGAGCGUUGCUGGACCUUUUUUGGUUCAGCUCGCUUUAAAAUUAUGAGCAGGCUCCUACCAUUUCGGACUGACUCAACGUGAUAAGAAAUUUCGUUGAGGACGCUUUACAGCGGCCGAAUUGUAGGGAAAUGCCGCUGCUAGUUGACCCUUAUAUUUUAGACCUCAAAUCAGGUGGGACUACCCGCUGAACUUAA
rnacentral:rRNA from 1 species